GGUGUUCAUUCCUAAAGCCGAGUAGAAAUAAGUAGUCAAAAGCGUCUGUAUAUAAACAAUCAGCUCUCUAUAUCCGUCAAUUUUUAAUUUAAUAAUUAAAAUGUCCUCACUUGUUCGUAAAAUUCUGUUAAUGAAAUUGCCUGCUUCACUCACCUUCCAAAGGUUAAGAUUUGCUUUAUGUUUUGGUUUUGUGAAACGAUCUUUAUGGUUGGGAUGCGUUAACAACUCGAAUAAUGAUGGUUGGUUUAGUAAAUUGUUGAUGGUAAGAAAAAUUGAUCCUGGCCAUGACUCUCAUUCAAGACUUUUAUCUGCCUCUGAAGUCAUCUAUGAAAUGCAAACUCAUGAUGUCAAACCAGAUAGUAUAGAGCCAUAUUUAGAUAAUUAUGAAAAAUAUGCCAAAAUUGCAGCUAAUAAAUCUGAUGGAGCAGAAUUAGUUGGAAGCUGGAGUGUAGAAAUAGGUUCUCAAGAUCAAUUCAUUCACGUGUGGCGCUAUAAACACGGUUAUAACCAUGCCCAUGAAUUUUUGGAGUUACGUCACACGGAUAAUGAUUUAAAGAGUCUGAUAAAGGAUCGUAUACCCUUUAUAAGGCACAGAGAGAAUCAAUUCAUGUUAUCUUUUAGUUUCUGGGGACACCCUCAGCCUAAAGAAGGUUCUAAUAUGUAUGAAAUGAGAUCUUAUGUUCUUAAGCCUGGCACCAUGAUAGAAUGGGGAAAUAAUUGGGCUAGAGGAGUAACUUAUAGAAAAGAGAGUGCAGUUGCUGGCUUUUUCUCACAGAUAGGACAAUUGUAUAUGGUUCAUCAUAUAUGGAGUUAUAAGAAUCUACAAAUGCGAAAGGAUGUAAGAGAUGCUGCAUGGAGAAAACCUGGCUGGGAUGAAUGUGUUGCUCAUACUGUUCCUUUGAUUCGAAAGAUGGAAAGUCGAUGGAUGAAACCGACGAAAUUCUCCCCCAUCCAGUAAUAUUAUUUUUAUUAAUAUUGUUUACACAUUUCUUCUGUUCCUGAAAAUCUUGUAAGAAAAAUCCCUGAAGAGUAAGAUAUUUCAAACAGGACAUCAAAAGGAAGCACUCAAGUAGUUUUUACAAUCUGAUGUCAAACUAUUCAGGCUCAAUAUAGUUUAGUUGAAGUUACCUGAGUGGAAGGCUUUAUAUACCCCAUCAGUGAUUGCUUUCCCUUUUUAUCUCUUUCUUUAUCUUUUUGAAGGUGUAGUAAAUUAAGUUAUUAUAUUUCAGUUAUUUGUUUGAAUUCACUUUCCCAGAAAAGAAAUUGGACAGCUCUUUAUUUACUGCAAAUUCCACCAGCUUGUUUAAUUAAAAAUAUUUUAAGACAUCUCAAAAUAAAAGAUAAAAAUAUUUAUCAAUGUAUCAGAUAAUUCCCAUAAAUGAACUAGAAGAAGUAAUUCAUUUAAAUGUCAGAAUUAUUUUGUUGAAGUUGCAAGUGUUAUUACUGUUUUGAAAGAGUUUAUAUUAGCAUAAUUGCCUUUUCAGAUCUGAUUUAUAUAUAAUUUUUAUUAGAAAAGUUUAUUUAUUUAUUUUUUUGCGUAAACAAAUUAAACUUUUUUUCUUCUUUGUUCUGUUAAGUUUUGUAGAAACUUGUAUGUUUUGUGUAAUAUUUUACAAAAAUUAUUGAAAUAUAUAUAUGCUCAUUUUGUGUGCUCAACACCUUAUAUUUCUGGCAAUUUUUACAAUUUAAGCAAUCAAAUUAUAUUGUUUAAUUUUAGUAUUUUAAUCACAAUCUUAUUUCAUUGGUUAUUAAGAAAGCUAAUUUAUUAUUUAUCUUUAAUAAAUUAGUUUUUUUUUGUUUAGUUAAACUUUGUAUAAUCCUUUAUAUUUCUUAUAAUAUUUUAAAAGGCUUAUUGAGUAACACAUAUGCUCAUUUUGUGUGCUCAACAACUUUUAUUUUUGGCAAUUUUUGGACUUUCAAAAAUUAAAUUAUUAUGUUUAAUCUUAUUAUUUUAAUUUCGGAAUAUUUGCCUUGUUUGAUUAGGUAUUAAAUUUAUCUAAUUUUAUUAAUGCAAUAGUUUCGUGAAAUCUCAAUAUUUGUGUUCAUUGCUCACCAGACAUUUUCUUCUCAAUAUUUUACUUUUUUUUUAGUUUAAUUUAUAUGAUUUAUAUGCAUAUCUCAAUGUGUUCAUUAUUUUAAUUCUAAAUUGACAAAAAAUUGUUUAAUACCUUAGAUUUAUUCUAAGAUUAUGCUAAACAUGAAGGUUUGUGUAGAUUUUCUUUAAACUUAGUAUUAUUUUUAAGUUUAGUAUUUCUUCCAAAUAUUGUAUAUUUUUUCUGUUUAGUGUUUGUGUUUUAUUUAUUUAGUCAUUUAAUUCAUAGAUUAAAGUAAUGCAAAAAUAUCCUAAAUCAGAAUUUUUUGUUAAAAAUAGCUUGUUGAAAAACACUUUUUAUUUAAAGAGGUCUUACAGGAGUAAAACUUAAAAAAAAAAAAAACUACCUUUCUAUAUUUUUUCUUAUUUUAAACAACGCAUUUGAGGGUGAACAAAAUAUCCACUUCAUUUUUCCCCGGUCACUAUGGCGUAAAAAUGUUACCAAAAAUCAAAAUGUUUUUCUCUUGUUCAAGUAUUAUCUUUAUAAUUUUAAAAAAGUUAGAAAUUUAACCAUUUUUUAAAAAUUGUUUAAAGAAAGAAUGCUUUGUUCUAACUGUUAAUGGUAAAGAUUCUUUUCUUAAACUGUCAUCAUUUUGUCAUUUUUCAAUAUCUUUUUAGUAUACGCAAUAACUAAAAUUCUGCAUAUUUAUAAUUUCUAUCAGUUUUGAAUAUUAGGCGGAAGUUAUUGUAAUGGUUUUUUAAGAAGAGUUUUAAGGUUGAUAAAAAUUUGGCUAAUAUUUAAACGCAAUUCCCUAGUCAGCGAAUCAACGAGUAAAAAUUGCUUGUAUAUCAUGAACAGUUUGUUAUAAAAAAUUCUGCUCAUGUCUUAUUUUUCAUGUUAUUAAGACCCUUUAAGCUUAAGGUUAUAUUAAACAGCAUUUAGUCUACUUAGUGGCAUGUUUUAUGUGAUAUUUAUUUAUCACUUUGCUUUUAAAACUAGUCAUUUUUUUCUUUUUAGUGUCUCAAUUAGUCUUUUACUCAUUUGUUUGAAUUUAAUUGUAAACAAACUUAUGCAUUAAUUAAUGUAUCUAUUCAAGGUUGCCACUCCACAGGGAAAACCUGGAAAACACAGGGAAUUUUAAAAUCACCCAAAAUAACAGGGGAAAUGCAGGGAAUUUUGAUUUUUUUUUUCUUUGCAAACUGGGAAAAUACAGGGAAUUUUGUUUCUUAUUUUUGUGAUUUAAAAAAUUGUGACCACUCAAAGCGUCAUCUAGAGGAUAUUGAACCUUGAUAUUUUAGCUAUACUAAACUAUUUCAUUUACUAUAGCAUUAAAGUAUGUUCAGCUGUUUUACCAGCAAUUAAAACUAAUAAAUAUAGUUAGCCCAAUAUAGCUCACACAAGAGCACAGUAAUUGUUGUUUCCUCUUAAUAUAUUGUGUAUUAUAUGUACAGGGAUUUUUUUUCUUCCAGAUUUGAGUAGCAACCCUGAUAUUUUUGUAAAAAAAGGAAGAUCUUUUUACAUGUAUGCAUAAUUUGCAUGCAUUUAAUUGCAUAUGCAUGUGGGGUGUGUGGGAGCUAAUGGUUCAAAGAACCAGCAACUAAAAUAUUUUACUGGUCUAUAUACUUUUAGUGGUCCUUUCCUAUGCCUGUAUUUUAUUUGGAAAAAAAAAGUUGACGUCUGGGUACAAAAUAAUAUUAACAAAUGCAAUAUUAAAAGUUUGUAAAGUAAUAAUAAAUUGAAUUGAAGUUUUAUACAGUCAAAAUGGACCUUCGAGGGACUGAAAUUUCAAUAUCCGUUCCGCAAACAAUUUUAACUAAUAGUUCCAAACUCCCUCUUUUUUAUUACUCGUUAUUUAAAUAAAUGACCCAUAAAAAGAAAUACAAAAAUUAUUGAAAAAUAAUGCUUGGCAACAAAAAUGUGUUAACUUUUAUUUUUUAUUACUCUUAGUCUUGAGUACAAAAAAAAAUCUUUAGCUAAUGAUCAAUCCUCAACAUCAGAUAUGAAAACAUUUUCGACUCUCUGAUAAUUUUUCCUGAAUUUAUAUUAUUCCGCUUUUUAAACUUGUCUACCCAGGCAUUCAAGCACAUAAAAGUAGUCACACGAAAUCACUCAGCAAAUUCAUCUGCUUUGACUUGAAGCAUUUGUCCAGAUUCCGGUUUUUUCGAAUGCUGAACCAAUUCAAUAAUGAAGCAAAUAAGAAAAAAUGCUUAUUGCUACAUUCCAUGCUACAAAUGUUUUUAAAAAUCGGUAUAUGUAUUUUUUAUUAUUUUUUUAAGUCGACAUUUCAAGUUUAUUUCAUAAAAAAUGAAGAAAAUAAAUCAGUCGAAGACAGAAAACGUCCGUAAUAUCCAACUUCCCCUCUUUUUUUGGUUCACUAUAUCUACGAAGAAUAACACGAUACGUGUGUAGCAAGCCAUGGGAGCAAACAUUUCGUUCCCUAUAUCUGGGAGUUCGCACCGUGUUCUCUAUAGCGGGGUUUGACUGUAUAUGUUUUCAUAAACACUUUAAAUAUAAUGUAGAUAAUUUUUUUAAUAUUAAGUUCAUCAAGGGGAAAUAACGGGAAAAAUUACAGAAAAUGUGCAAUUAUGAACAAGUAAUAUUUUAUUGUCAGCACCGAAACAAAUCAGUUGAUGUUUCUUUUACUCUCAGUUGACUGUAAUCAGUUCAAAAGACCACUGAUAAUUAUUUUAUGGGAGACAGAUUGUUAAUUUCAAGCCCCGUUUGUUUUUUAUUGCAAGAUGAUAAUAUUUUGUUGUUAUUGACAUUGAAAGAAAUAGGUUUUAGUAAAAUACACAGUUAUAUAUGCACCUAUGUAUUUAUUAAAUUUAAGUUCUUUUUUAUGAUGUACCAGUCUUUCAUAUAAAGAUAGUUGUUUUACUCAAAUUGGAUUUGAUGAUUUCUGCAUUAUGUUCGCUUCUGUGAAAUAUCGAAACAUCGACUUUCACCAGGGAAUUUCAACAAUCACAUAAUCGCAUAGAUGAUUAUUCCAAAUAAUUGUUAUAUCCAAUUUUAUAUUUAUGUGUCCAUUGAUAUUGUAAUAUUUGUCUGAUUUUUUCAUAUCGGAUUAAGAUAGAUUGGAUAAAACAUCCAUUAUAAGGAAUACCAGGCAUUUAACUUUGAAGUGAUAUAAAAAACGUUUUUUUCCUACUUAGGUCAACAGAAUUUUUUUUUUUUUUUGAAAUUUUGUUCAGAAAAAUUUUAUUUUAGUUACUUUUUGUUAAAAAAUUACAAUUCUUUCUCCCAUAUGAAAUUGAAAUUAGUGAAUUAAAUUUAAUGAAUGAAUUAAUAUUUGGAAAAAACUGUAUUAACAUCAAGUGUUAUCCACUAAAGUUGGUCUUUGAAUUUGAGUGGUUGAAUAAAAAGUAUUUUAUUAAUGAUUGAAAAUUUGAACAAGAUAUAGGGAGAAUGUGAACUAAUAGUAGGAAUUGGAAAAAACAUCACUGUAGGAAAUAUCAGACAAUGGCACUUAAUUUAAGAUUAAUUAAUUUAAAAAAAUCAAUGUAUUGAAAACUGAGCAAAGAUUUUUGCUCUCAAAAAUACAUUAGGGUGGAGAAUAUUGGUUAAUUUCUCUAUGUCUGUCCAGUAUCCAAUAAUUUUUCUGAUCUUUUCUAGACAGAUAAGUAAAUAUUGAGAAUAAAUUAAUUUGAAAUCAGACCUAACAUUUAUUUUGGAGAUAUACCGAAGCAACUAUGUGAUUGUUGACAUUUACCGACGAAAGUCGGCAAUUUCAGUCUUUCACAGAAACAUUUUAAAAGUCUUUGUGAAUUUGAAAUGCAAAUAUAUUUCCAUAAGCAAUUAUUUUUUGUAAUGAAAUGCAUUGAUCAUGCAUCGUUGCAUGUCUUGUGAUAUUCUUGUAAUCGGUUAAUAAUAGAAGUGGACUGUUUCUUGAUUCAGACCUAUUUUCAGUGUAGAGAUACCAACUAGUAACACUGUACAACCACCUCAAUUCCAGUUAUUUUUAACUUUUUCCUAAUAAAAAUGUGUUUUUGUC
rnacentral:misc_RNA from 1 species